GACGAACGCUGGCGGCGUGCCUAAUACAUGCAAGUAGAACGCUGAAGAGAGGAGCUUGCUCUUCUUGGAUGAGUUGCGAACGGGUGAGUAACGCGUAGGUAACCUGCCUUGUAGCGGGGGAUAACUAUUGGAAACGAUAGCUAAUACCGCAUAACAAUGGAUGACCCAUGUCAUUUAUUUGAAAGGGGCAAAUGCUCCACUACAAGAUGGACCUGCGUUGUAUUAGCUAGUAGGUGAGGUAACGGCUCACCUAGGCGACGAUACAUAGCCGACCUGAGAGGGUGAUCGGCCACACUGGGACUGAGACACGGCCCAGACUCCUACGGGAGGCAGCAGUAGGGAAUCUUCGGCAAUGGGGGCAACCCUGACCGAGCAACGCCGCGUGAGUGAAGAAGGUUUUCGGAUCGUAAAGCUCUGUUGUAAGUCAAGAACGAGUGUGAGAGUGGAAAGUUCACACUGUGACAGUAGCUUACCAGAAAGGGACGGCUAACUACGUG
rnacentral:rRNA from 1 species